rnacentral:rRNA from 2 species
AGAGUUUGAUCCUAGCUCAGGACUAACGCUGACGGCGUGCCUAAUCUAUGCAAGUUGAUGGUUUUUAUCCGCAAGGAUAAAAACCAUGGCAGACGAGUGAGUAACACGUAGGAACCAACCCUUUACUUGACCAUAACCGUGCGAAAGCAUGAGUAAUAGUCAAUAGUCUCUUCGGAGUAAAGUUUGCAAUUUAUUGCAAAUGGUAAAGGACGGGCCUGCGUCCUAUCAGCUAGUUGGCGGGGUAAUUGCCCACCAAGGCUAUGACGGGUAGGGGGCGUGAGAGCGUGACCCCCCACGAUGGCACUGAGACACGGGCCAUACAUCUACGGAUGGCAGCAAGUAGGAAUAUUGCACAAUGGUCGUCACAGACGACUGAUGCAGCGACGCCGUGUGUGGGAAGAAGCUUUUCGGAGUGUAAACCAAUGUUAAGAAGGGGCGGCUAACUUCGUGCCAGCAGCAGCGGUAAUACGGGGGCCCCAAGCGUUGUCCGGUUUUAUUGGGCGUAAAGAGUUCUGUAGGCGGUGGUUUAAGUUACUGGUUAAAGGUUCGGGCUCAACCCGAAACAUACUUGUAAUACUGGAUCACUAGAGGUAGACAGGGGAGGGCGGAACGCAUGGUGUAGUGGUGGAAUACGUUGAUAUCAUGCGGAACACCGAAGGCGAAGGCAGCCCUCUGGGUCUUAUCUGACGCUAAGAGACGAAAGCGUGGGUAGCAAAACGGAUUAGAUACCCGUGUAGUCCACGCCGUAAACGAUGUUCACUAGAUUCGUGUUUCGAUUUAUCGGGAUGCGGGUCGCAGCUAACGCGUUAAGUGAACCGCCUGGGAAGUACGGCCGCAAGGCUAAAACUCAAAGGAAUUGACGGGGACCCGCACAAGCGGUGGAGCGCCUGCUUUAAUUCGAUGAUAAGCGAAGAACCUUACCGAGGUUUGACAUGCUACUGCAAAUCGGCUGAAAAGCCGACUCCUUCGAGGGUGUAGCACAGGUAUUGCAUGGCUGUUGUCAGCUCGUGUCGUGAGAUGUACCGUUAAGUCGGGUAACGAGCGCAACCCUUAUCGUUAGUUGUAUCACUCUAGCGAAACUGCCCCGGCAACGGGGAGGAAGGGGAGGAAGACAACAAGUCAGCAUGGUCCUUAUGCCUCGGGCGAGACAGGCGCUACAAUGGGAUUGACAAUGGGACGCCAUAUGGCAACAUAGAGCAAAUCUCUAAACAAUCUCUCAGUUCGGAUUGAGGGCUGAAAUUCGCCCUCAUGAAGUUGGAAUCGCUAGUAAUCGCUGGUCAGCUAUACAGCGGUGAAUACGUUCUCGGGUCUUGUACACACUGCCCGUCAGGUCAGCAGAGUUGAGAAUGCCCGAAGUCUCUCGUUUUUGACGAGGGCCUAAGGUAGGCUCAGCGAUGAGGAUUAAGUCGUAACAAGGUAGCCCUAGGGGAAUCUGGGGCUGGAUCACCUCCUUUC